UGGGGAAUAUUGCACAAUGGGCGAAAGCCUGAUGCAGCAACGCCGCGUGAGUGAUGAAGGCCUUCGGGUUGUAAAGCUCUGUCUUUUGGGACGAUAAUGACGGUACCAAAGGAGGAAGCCACGGCUAACUACGUGCCAGCAGCCGCGGUAAUACGUAGGUGGCAAGCGUUGUCCGGAUUUACUGGGCGUAAAGGAUGCGUAGGCGGGAUAGUCAGUCUGUUGUAAAAGUGCGGGGCUCAACCCCGUGAUCGCAAUGGAAACAGCUAUUCUUGAGUGCAGGAGAGGAAAGUGGAAUUCCCAGUGUAGCGGUGAAAUGCGUAGAUAUUGGGAGGAACACCAGUGGCGAAGGCGACUUUCUGGACUGUGUCUGACGCUGAGGCGCGAAAAGCCAGGGGAGCGAACGGGAUUAGAUACCCCGGUAGUCCUGGCCGUAAACGAUGAGUACUAGGUGUAGGAGGUAUCGACCCCUUCUGUGCCGCAGUUAACACAAUAAGUACUCCGCCUGGGAAGUACGAUCGCAAGAUUAAAACUCAAAGGAAUUG
rnacentral:rRNA from 1 species